rnacentral:rRNA from 1 species
UGCCAGCCGCCGCGGUAAUACGUAGGGAGCAAGCGUUGUCCGGAAUUACUGGGCGUAAAGGGCGUGUAGGCGGAAAUUUAAGUAAGAUGUGAAAACUCCAGGCUCAACCUGGAGACUGCAUUUUAAACUGGAUUUCUUGAGGGCAGGAGAGGAAAGUGGAAUUCCUAGUGUAGCGGUGAAAUGCGUAGAUAUUAGGAGGAACAUCAGUGGCGAAGGCGACUUUCUGGGCUAAGACUGACGCUGAGGUACGAAAGCGUGGGGAGCAAGCAGGAUUAGAUA